UGUUAUUGAAUUUGAUUUUUUGCACGCAUUCAUGCUAUCUGAACAAGAAGCGAAAGCUGAAAAUAGGCGUCAAAAGAUAUUGCAAAACGCCGAGAAUAGAUUAAGAAAAAUUCAGGGAUUGCCAAAUAUUGAGAAAGAAAAUGAUAUCCCGUCUAAAAUAGAGGAUGGAUCUAACUUAAAGGAUGGUUCUAUUAUAGAAGAUAAUGAUAAUAUAAGAACUUAUUUAUCAUCAAACACCGAUAUAUUAGAUGAUAUAAGAAAUAGAUUAAAAUAUAUGAAAUCUGAAAAAUCAAUUAAUGAUCAUAAAAAUAUAAUCAGAAAAGAUUCAUUAAAUUAUCAUGAUGAUCCUCAUCAUGACUAUACUCCUGUAAACAAUCAAAAUCUGCCAACAGAGCUGUAUACAAAUCGACAUGUAUCAAAUUAUUUAUUUUGGUGUUCAAAUCAUAGGUAUACAUUCUAUUUUAUAUUGGCUUUCAUCACACGAUUGAUGUUAAUAACUCGCUUCUUAUCAGUUUUUAUCCUCAAUUCAGCAAUUUUACCAUUCUUCAUAUCGUAUACUAUUUUAUUUUUCUCAACAAAAUUCUUACAAACUGCUCCAAAUAAUCAAGUGAAUAAUAUGAAAACAUCAUCUUAUAUUACCUACAUCUUAAGAGGUAUCUUAAUAUUAUGUAAGUUAGAUACACAAUCUAUUGAUUUAUUGGUUACGACUAUGAUGUUUACACAAACAUUAAGCAAAGAUUUUAGUAUAUAUUUUAUAUCCUUUAUAUUAUUUCAUCAGUUAUUAUUCUGAUAAUACGGGGAUAAAAUUAUUUAUAAAUAUGUAAUUAGUUUAUGUAAAUUAUUCUGUAUGAAUAAAAUAUUCUACCCUUUAUAAAUUUUGACAUAAAAUUAUAUAGCUUAUUUUCAAAAAUUUAUUCAUUAUAUUAUAAAUAAAUACUUUUGAUAAAAUGAAAAAAAAAUAAGAUAUAUAAUAUUGUAAAUGCAUUAAUGAUAGAUUCUUGAUUUCCAUUAAAUUUGAUUAUAACUUUUAAGGAUUUGGUUUGUUAUUCAAUAAAUCAUAACAUUGUAAACACACUCUCACAGGUUUUGAUGAAAAGGGCAUAUUAAUCUUGUAUUUUGAGCAUUCUUGACAAAAUAUAGUCCCACAAUUUCUGCAGUGAUGCUUUAAAUAAAAUUCAAUAUGUUAAUAUUGUAGAAAAUUAAAUUUAGAUAAUAUGUUACUCAAUACAUCUUUAUAUUAUAUUUAUUAUAAAAAACAAAACUACUUAUUGUCAUUUAGUGCUUCUUAUAAAAAAUAUAUA